CCCGAGGCAGCGAGGCAGGCCAUCUCAACCUGACCGUGAGGGCAGACAGGAAGGGGCAGGGCUGGCUGGUCUCUCUUCACCCGGAAACUGGCCGUCUGGGACAGCAGGGCCAAGCUGCCCACCGGUGGAGCCACAAACACACGUCUGAGUUCACUGACUUCAGGGGUCCUUGUGAUGUCCUGAGCCGUGACCUCAGGGGGUCGAAGGGAGCCCACUUCUUGGAAGCCAUCUCUUCCAGCGACCCUGCAGAAACUUCCUAGGGGAUGUGAUACUGUGGUCUGCUCCAAAGCUGGUACUCACAGCCUGUUACCAGGUGAAGGGACUCUGAGGGCGUUUCCAGGAGGCAGUGCCUGCUUUCCACCACCCCCGAUCUUCCUUCUGAUCCCAGGCUGGUAUUUAUAACCCACUACCGGAUGCAGGGCCAGCCAAGAGCACCCAAG
rnacentral:lncRNA from 1 species